rnacentral:rRNA from 1 species
GAUGAACGCUAGCGGCAGGCCUAAUACAUGCAAGUCGAACGGUGUCUUCGGACAUAGUGGCGCACGGGUGCGUAACACGUAUGCAACCUCCCUUACAUUGGGGGAUAGCCUUUCGAAAGGGAGAUUAAUACCGCAUAAGACAGUAGCUGGGCAUCCAGCAGCUGUUAAAGAUUUAUCGAUGGAAGCUGGGCAUGCGUACAAUUAGCUAGUUGGUGAGGUAACGGCUCACAAAGGCAAUGAUUGGUAGGGGAACUGAGAGGUCAAUCCCCCACACGGGCACUGAGAUACGGGCCAGACUCCUACGGGAGGCAGCAGUAGGGAAUAUUGGGCAAUGGACGCAAGUCUGACCCAGCCAUGCCGCGUGCAGGAUGAAGGCGUUAUGCGUUGUAAACUGCUUUUAUACAGGAAGAAACGACUCUUGCGAGAGGCAUUGACGGUACUGUAUGAAUAAGCACCGGCUAACUCCGUGCCAGCAGCCGCCGUAACAC